rnacentral:tRNA from 1 species
GGCAGCUUGGCAGAGUGGUCUAAUGCGAUUGACUUGAAAUCGAUUCUCCUUGGAGGCGGCGUCAAAUCCGCCAGCUGUCG